GACGUAGGUUGCAAGCGUUAUCCGGAAUUAUUGGGCGUAAAGCGUUCGUAGGUGGUUUGUUAAGUUGGAUGUUAAAGCCCAGAGCUCAACUCUGGUCAUGUGUCCAAAACUGACAGACUGGAGACAGGUAGAGGUAGAUGGAAUUCUGCAUGUAGGGGUAAUAUCCGUAGAUAUGCAGAGGAACACCGAAAGCGAAAGCAGUCUACUGGACCUGUUCUGACACUCAAGAACGAAAGCGUGGGUAGCAAACGGG
rnacentral:rRNA from 1 species